GCUCAGUGGUAGAGCACUUGCCUAGCAAGCGCAAGGCCCUGGGUUCGGUCCCCAGCUCCGGAAAAAAAAAAAAAAAGAAAAGAAAAAAAAAAAAAAAGAGAUCGCCAGGCAUUUAGGAAGGGGCUCCCUCAGGAAGCCAAGAUUGAGCCCAGCUCCGUCCAUCGGAGUGGAUGGCAGGGAUGAAUUUGAGUUUGCAGGCCUAAGUGUCUCACACCCACUGACAUUUUUUCCUGUGUUGACACCUUGUCCUCCCCCUAGACAGAGAACCUGGAUUUCUGCUCCGGCUUACCUUUGGUCCUUUGUUGCUGUAGGUUGUCUGGCAGAGAAAGGGGGAAGCACAAGGAGAGGUUAUGACAAAGGGAGAUCUUGAACAGUCACCGUGGGUCAGUACUCACAGGGAGACCACCUAGGCCCGGACAGACUUACCAUGGUUGAUGGUGGUCAGACCUCUACCAGGAGUACUGGGACAAGAGGCCUGGGAAGCUGAUGGACAGAAUAUUUACCACCCUGCAAGGAGAAGGCCAUCCACUACUCCACUGCUCUGGCCAGCAAGAACAUCUUGUCCUUUGUUUGCUGUGACCAACUCAACCCCCUGCUGCUGGAGCCUGGCCUGGCAUCUAUCCUAGGCAGAAGGCCAGGCUUUCCCAAAUCCAGCAAGCACAUCGUGAGCAGCCUUGGGAUUCAGAAGGCUGGAGUGGCAGACAUCUGGCCCAGCUGGGCACAGACCCCCAAGGCGUUGUUCACCAGGGCUCAGUUCCAACCAUUACUGUGAUGUCACACACCGUCAAGGAUCCAGCCCAUCUGUCAGCGGAGCCUCGAAGUUUCUUCUGGAUCCUGCUGCCGCAGCUGAUUGGUGUGUGGUGUCUGCCUAAAGGGCUGGUCUGCAGCUGCUGAUUCGUGGUUGGUGUUUGCCAGUGGACUGCCGAUAUCCAGGCAACGAAGAUUGGAAUCUCCCCAGAGAACUAUUUCUUUUUUUUUCUUUCUUUUUUCUUUCUUUUUUUUUUUUGGUUCUUUUUUUCGGAGCUGGGGACCGAACCCAGGACCUUGCGCUUCCUAGGCAAGCGCUCUACCACUGAGCUAAAUCCCCAACCCCCAGAGAACUAUUUCUAAGCAGGUCCACUUCCCCCAUGUCCCAAUAACCUUUCUUUUCCACUACCACUGGUGGGUGGUGGGCUAGAAGGGAGGUUAAGGCAGUUAAGAAUCCUUAUUAAAGUAGGUUUUGAAAAAUCGAAACCCACAGUUUCGCCUGUGCGUGAUGGUAUUAUAUCUUCCGUCUCAGCCACUGAGAGGCUGAGACAAGAAGCUCUAUGUGAAUUUGAGGCCAGUCUGGGCUAUAUGGCAGGUCUUUGCUUUAAAAAAAAGAAGGAAAUUAAUUUAAAGCAACUGAGGAACUGGGCGUGGUGACUCGAGCCUUUAAAUCCAGCACUGAGGAGGCAGAGGGGGUCAGAUAUCUCAGUUCCAGGAAGCCUGGGCCACACAGCGAAACCCUGUCUCAGAAGGUUGGAGUGGGAAGAACCACUUAAGGGACUGGAGAGAUGGCUUAAGUGGUUAAGAGCGUGAACUGCUCUUUCAAAGGUCCUGAGUUCGAUUCCCAGCACCCCCAUCAUCUGGUUCACAGUCACCUGUAGCUCCAAGAGGCUAGGAUGUGUAUAGUGGUUUGUAUAUCAUCCCCUGCCCCAUCAUGUUAACUAAAAACAAUACAAAUAAAUUUCAAAAUCCAUCUAACAGUUUGCAUGGUUACAAGAACAAAAAACAAAGACAACAACUGGGGCUGGAGAGAUGCCUCAGAGGUUAAGAGCACUGACUGCUCUUGCAGAGGUCCUGAGGUCAAUUCUCAGCAACCACGUGGUGGCUCACAACCAUCUGUAAUGGGAUCUGAUGUCCCCUUCUGGUGUGUCUGAAAACAGUGAUGAUGUACUCAUAUACAUUCAUAAAUAAAUAAAUCAUUUAAAAAAAAAGACAACAGGGCUGGAGAGAUGGCUCAGUGGUUAAGAGCAUCUGCUUAGACAACAGCCUAUCCAAGGGUCCCUCCUUAAUGAAAUGCCAGUGAGUGGGUGUGUCUAAAGAGGGCUGUGCUUUCCCAAGUGUCUGUGAUGACCUCUAGGCUAGGGGUUGCCAGGGUAGUGAU